rnacentral:misc_RNA from 1 species
GAUGAAGAACGCAGCGAAAUGCGAUAAGUAAUGUGAAUUGCAGAAUUCAGUGAAUCAUCGAAUCUUUGAACGCACAUUGCGCCCGCCAGUAUUCUGGCGGGCAUGCCUGUUCGAGCGUCAUUUCAACCCUCAAGCCCCCGGGCUUGGUGUUGGGGAUCGGCGUGCCCUCGCGGCGCGCCGUCCCCUAAAUCUAGUGGCGGUCUCGCUGUAGCUUCCUCUGCGUAGUAGCAACACUCGCACUGGAUCGCAGCGCGGCCACGCCGUUAAACCCCCCACUUCUGAAAGUUUGACCUCGGAUCAGGUAGGAAUACCCGCUGAACUUAAGCAUAUCAUAAGCGGAGGA